AUUGAACGCUGGCGGCAGGCCUAACACAUGCAAGUCGAGCGCCCCGCAAGGGGAGCGGCCGACGGGUGAGUAACGCGUGGGAACGUGCCCUUUGGUUCGGAACAAAUACGGGAAACUGGAGCUAAUACCGGAUAAGCCCUUCGGGGGAAAGAUUUAUCGCCAAAGGAUAGGCCCGCGUCUGAUUAGCUAGUUGGUGAGGUAAUGGCUCACCAAGGCGACGAUCAGUAGCUGGUCUGAGAGGAUGAUCAGCCACACUGGGACUGAGACACGGCCCAGACUCCUACGGGAGGCAGCAGUGGGGAAUAUUGGACAAUGGGCGCAAGCCUGAUCCAGCCAUGCCGCGUGAGUGAUGAAGGCCUUAGGGUUGUAAAGCUCUUUUGUCCGGGAAGAUAAUGACUGUACCGGAAGAAUAAGCCCCGGCUAACUUCGUGCCAGCCGCCGCCGUAA
rnacentral:rRNA from 1 species